GGUUUUGUCUCUCGUCGGCGGCGGCCGACAACUGGGGCGGCGGUGGUUAAGUGGUGGCAGCAGCAGCAGCAGCGGCGGCGGCGGCCCCGAGGGAAGAGGACGAGGGGCGAUGAGUGAGGGGACGGGAGUCCCGUAGUCAUCUGUCGUGUCUCCUACCUUUCACCUUUGAGCGGCACACAUUAAGCUUAAUAGGCCGCAAGCAUAAAACGAGUGGUCCAAAGUACCGAACAGACAUAUUCCCGACUUUGACACGCGAGAACUCCCGAGUAGAAACUCUCACCCCACAAAACCUCGGGGAAAGACAAAAAAAAAGAAUUAAUGUUUAGUAUAAAAAAAUUUCAAAUGUUUUAUAUACUUUCAUAUGUGUUCAUGAAUUCCUACAUAAGAUGUACACACAUUUCAAAGUACUACUCUAUGAACUUCUCAACUCGAGGUGUCCUUGUUG
rnacentral:rRNA from 1 species